AAUACACAAGUUCUUUGGAUGCAUAAGCCUUCCCUUGGUAAUGCAGAAGGCUUCCUUAUCUUGCGGCAUCUCUAGGUCAUCACCUGGAGGACCAAUCACAGACCACAGAGCAUCGGCCAGACCACAGGGCAUUUGGGCAGUUUGUGCUGAUUGGUGGAUUCUGACUGAACAAAAAUGUGAUGCCCUAUUUUCACAGCAAUAUAAAACACCAACCAAGGAGGCCCUUGAAGAACCAGAAAAUAGCUUGGCUCCAGAUGGUUUUUUUUUUUGUUUUUUUUUUGCCAAUUGGAGACCCAGCAUCACCUAAGGCCUGACCAUACUUCCUGCCUUGGCUUCUGUGAACAUCUCUGUAUCCUUACAGGAUCUGCAUUAGCGAAACAAAGGUGCCGGUUGCCUCCUUGGAGUCACCUUUUUCCUUCCUUGGCAUGGAGCCAGUACCAAGAAUCUCCAGGGAUAGAGGUGGGACCCUAUGGGGAAAAGCAGAUAGCAGAGAAGGAAAGAAGAGGAAGACAGAAGUUUCUCCUCCCACACGUCAAAGGUUAAUUGUGUGAGAACAAAAGAAGAUUCCUUCCCCUGACUGAGUAGACUCACCAUAUAUUACUAGUAAGGGUAUUUUCUUUCAAGCAAUGGGUUGGACCUAUGGGGCAUGAGAGAGAAGUUUCACUGGUUUGCACUGGCUUCUGUCACUAGCUAAUAAAGAAGGCUGCCUGAGA